GAUGAACGCUGGCGGCGUGCCUAAUACAUGCAAGUCGAGCGAACAGACGAGGAGCUUGCUCCUCUGACGUUAGCGGCGGACGGGUGAGUAACACGUGGAUAACCUACCUAUAAGACUGGGAUAACUUCGGGAAACCGGAGCUAAUACCGGAUAAUAUAUUGAACCGCAUGGUUCAAUAGUGAAAGACGGUUUUGCUGUCACUUAUAGAUGGAUCCGCGCCGCAUUAGCUAGUUGGUAAGGUAACGGCUUACCAAGGCAACGAUGCGUAGCCGACCUGAGAGGGUGAUCGGCCACACUGGAACUGAGACACGGUCCAGACUCCUACGGGAGGCAGCAGUAGGGAAUCUUCCGCAAUGGGCGAAAGCUUGACGGAGCAACGCCGCGUGAGUGAUGAAGGUCUUCGGAUCGUAAAACUCUGUUAUUAGGGAAGAACAAAUGUGUAAGUAACUAUGCACCUCUUGACGGUACCUAAUCAGAAAGCCACGGCUAACUACGUG
rnacentral:rRNA from 1 species